UACCAGCUCUCCGAGUUGUAGGGACGAUUAUUGGGCUUAAAGCGUCCGUAGCCGGCUUAGCAAGUCUCCUGUUAAAUUCAGCGACCCAAUCGUUGAGCCGCGGGAGAUACUACUAGGCUAGGAGGCGGGGGAGGUCGACGGUACUUUCGGGGUAGGGGUGAAAUCCUAUAAUCCCGGGAGGACCACCAGUGGCGAAGGCUGUCGACUAGAACGCGCUCGACGGUGAGGGACGAAAGCUGGGGGAGCGAACCGGAUUAGAUACCCGGGUAGUCCCAGCUGUAAACGAUGCGGGCUAGGUGUUGGGGUGGCUACGGGCCACUUCAGUGCCGCAGGAAAGCCAUUAAGCCCGCCGCCUGGGGAGUACGGCCGCAAGGCUGAAACUUAAAGGAAUUGGCGGGGGAGCACCACAAGGCGUGGAGCUUGCGGUUC
rnacentral:rRNA from 1 species